rnacentral:rRNA from 1 species
CUACCGGGGUAUCUAAUCCUGUUUGAUCCCCGCACUUUCGGGUCUGAGUGUCAGUGUUGGGCCAGAUCGCCGCCUUCGCCACCGGUGUUCCUCCAGAUAUCUACGUAUUUCACCACUACACCUGGAAUUCCACGAUCCUCUCCCACACUCAAGCUUUGCAGUAUCAAAAGCACUUCCUGGGUUGAGCCCAGGGCUUUCACUCCUGACUUACAAAGCCACCUACACCCGCUUUACGCCCAAUGAUUCCGAGCAACGCUUGGACCCCUCGUAUUACCGCGGCUGCUGGCAC